UUGAACGUUGGCGGCAGGCCUAACACAUGCAAGUCGAGCGGAUGAAGGGAGCUUGCUCCUGGAUUCAGCGGCGGACGGGUGAGUAAUGCCUAGGAAUCUGCCUGGUAGUGGGGGAUAACGUCCGGAAACGGGCGCUAAUACCGCAUACGUCCUGAGGGAGAAAGUGGGGGAUCUUCGGACCUCACGCUAUCAGAUGAGCCUAGGUCGGAUUAGCUAGUUGGUGGGGUAAAGGCCUACCAAGGCGACGAUCCGUAACUGGUCUGAGAGGAUGAUCAGUCACACUGGAACUGAGACACGGUCCAGACUCCUACGGGAGGCAGCAGUGGGGAAUAUUGGACAAUGGGCGAAAGCCUGAUCCAGCCAUGCCGCGUGUGUGAAGAAGGUCUUCGGAUUGUAAAGCACUUUAAGUUGGGAGGAAGGGCAGUAAGUUAAUACCUUGCUGUUUUGACGUUACCAACAGAAUAAGCACCGGCUAACUUCGUG
rnacentral:rRNA from 1 species